rnacentral:misc_RNA from 1 species
GAUGAAGAACGCAGCGAAAUGCGAUACUUGGUGUGAAUUGCAGAAUCCCGUGAACCAUCGAGUCUUUGAACGCAAGUUGCGCCCGAAGCCAUUAGGCCGAGGGCACGCCUGCCUGGGCGUCACACGUCGUUGCCCCCCCAUCUACUCCUUCGGGAUUGCGGGGGGCGGAUGAUGGCCUCCCGAGCGCCUCGCCGCGCGGUUGGCAUAAAUGCCAAGUCCUCGGCGACGCACGCCACGACAAUCGGUGGUUGCGAAACCUCGGUUGCCCGUCGUGUGCGGUCGUCGCGCAUCGAGGGCUCGAAAAAAUUGCCGGGUUCCGGCUCGGCUUUCAACGCGACCCCAGGUCAGGCGGGGUUACCCGCUGAAUUUAAGCAUAUCAAUAAGCGGAGGA